CAGGUGAUUGAAAACUGAGGCAUUUCCUGGACUAGAAUGGGUAAUGAAGACCCAGCUGUCAGACGAGUCUGGAAAUCCUAAGAGCUACCUGCUGCACAAAGGCCGGCCUGGAGGCAUUUGCUGAGCACAGAGAAACCCAAGAGGGAUCAGCAGUUGUGUUUCUCCCUACCCCUUGAUCUUUCUGAUUUACCCAGAGAGACAGAAUCAUCCUCUAAGACUCUGUGGGCCCAGAACAGAACAAGGACACAGAGGACUGAUGCCUAACAGUUAAACGCGCUCAAGACUUGAGCGUUAAAGGGGUUAACAGUUGCCCUAGCGUGGCCUUCUAGAUCAGAACAGACUGGCGGCUUCUGUUGCCUUCCCAGGCUGUCUCUCCCUUAGCCUGCAGAAUUGGUGGAACACCCUACUAACUACCACCUUCUUUUCCCCCCUGCUGUACCUGUGUUUUAAGUGUCAGUCUAGCAGCCCUUGGACAGUUCCAGAGAGCAGUCAUCCCGUCUUGUAACAAGCCAAGGAAAGCCAAAUGAGAAGGUUCAUUUACUUCGGGCAAGUUGUUUAACCUCUGAGCCUGUUUAUCUUCUCAUUACUUGUCCAAAAAGCUCUUAAAUAGAGGGGUUUUUCUCUACUUCACUUCUCUACUAUUUUUCCUUCCCCAACAAGUAUCUGCCCCUAAGGAGCUCAAUAAAGGUUUGGUCAAGGGAU